rnacentral:lncRNA from 1 species
AGAAAAAAAAAAAAAAAAAGUAGGGACCGAUUAAACGGCAUAAAUAAAUAAAUAACACACACCAGAUUUCAGCUCCGAGGCGCUCAAUAAAAUUACACUUUGAAAUGCAAGGAUUAAGCAGGGUAGGUGACAAGGUAACUUUGUUAACAGGCUAAUCUCUCGCCUUAACAGAGACAGGGGAUUUACAUGUGACUGCACAGAACUGCUUUAUGGCCUCUUUUUUUUUUUCUUUUUUUUUUUUUUUUUCCAGCUGGAGAUGGUAGGAAGGGGCAGGAUGAGAUGGGACACGGCUGGGUAUUUUAAAGCCAUUUGUAAAACGGGUUUAAACUGUUGGGUUGUUUUUUAAAGGUUGUUCUUGUGUUUGUUCGAUUGUUUUUAAUGAGCAAGGCUGUAAGAAAAUGUGUAGCCAACAACCGGCUGUCUCCAAACAGUCCAGCAUUGCUGGGGUUUGAGCUGGCUGCGGGUGGAAGGACUGAGCCUGGAAGGAAACCCCGUGUGAAAUCCCCAGCCUGCUUUGCAGAUGUUGGGCUGCUUCUGGGUGAGAUUUCAGCUUUUACAGGCAGAUGUCUGAAACACUCCUGGUGGGCUCGGUGCCUCGCUGCAGUAAAUUCAGGGUGAGUCCAAUGGUUUGGGUUGGGGGCUCCAGUUUUGAGCAGUGAUGGAGAAUGAGAAUUAUGUUGCACACAGAUUGUCAGACCGUUGUACAGCUCUGUGCUCCAUGCUGGCUCAGCAGGCUUCCAACUGGACAAGCACAAGGAACACCUGCAUCUCACAGCAACUCCUCCAAGCCCAAAUACUUCCCAGAGACUCAUCCUAGAGAUGUCCAUGCCAUGGAAGUCCUCCGAUAGUGCUGCCUUAGUCUGAUAUGACUAUCCCUCACUGGUAGGGCAUGGCACAAAAUGGAUUUUACUCCCCAUGCUCUGACUACUGUGCAUAGAGCUGCAGCGCUGUUUGUCCAGCAGUUAAAAAAAAACACUUUUUAACAAUGCUCUUUUUUUAAAUUAAAACAAACAAACAAAACUGAACGACCAGGCAGGAAGAAGUCCUCUUUUUUCCAAAAUAAUCAGUGGUGAAUUUGGGAAAACUGGACGGAGGCCAAGGAGCUGCAGCAGAGUGAAAGUUAGGUGACUUUCCCAGCAGUGGGCAGGGACAUGUCCACAGCAUCCCCCCACUGCCACAGGAGCAUCGAGCCCUGGCAGGCAGCGCAGCCGCUGCCUCCUUCCCUUGCUGCCAGAUAAAGAGGGCUCUCCUUUUUCAGCCCAUUCUGCUCACACAAUGGGAGAAGGGGAUCAGCGCCAAAAUUACAAGUGUGAGCCC